rnacentral:lncRNA from 1 species
CUCGUCGGCUACAGGCCUUUGGGGAAUCCAGUGUUGCCAUCAUAUUAGGAAGGUGUGACCGAGGGACUUCUCGCCAUCUGACUUUCAUCAGGAUCCACCCUACUCUGCUUCCCCUUUGGUGGCUGAGUCUGAGAAGGAGGUUACCUGGGUAACCAGUUCAGAGGGAAAAGCUGACCUACAUACUGAUCCUAAAAAGCAAAGUCUCUCCUGGUGGCUUUCCCUGUCCUCCUUGGGAACCUGUACGGUCUCUUGUCACAGGGCAGGAAGAGCUCUGCUUGUCGCAUAGACCAGACUUCCAGAACUGGUGAGCCCUCUG